rnacentral:tRNA from 1 species
GGGAUAUAGGUCAGUGGUAGAGUGCUUGCCUAGCAUGCAAGAGGCUCUGGGUUUGAUCUCCAGCACACA